GGGUCAGCAAGUUGGUCGUGCCACCGGUAUGUACUGGCUUUGCUGAUUCCUCCUUCUUGUAGAACCGUAAUGCCAUUCAGUUGGUGUUGCGGGGAAACAGGACUGUUACUUUGAAAAAAUUAGAGUGUUCAAAGCAGGCGUAACCUUGCCAUUGAAUAUUACAGCAUGGGAUAAUAGAAU
rnacentral:rRNA from 1 species